UUUGCUACGGACAAGCCGAAUUGCGAUCAUAGUCCCGUUGCUUCCAACCAUUUUUCUUUUUUCUUUCAGGUACAGCUUCAAGAGCUUCGUGUUAAUUCGUGAACAAAUUUUUAAGUUGUUUAUAUCACAACUCUCGAAUGGAUCGAGAAUUUUUAUUGGUUCCCGAAGGAAAAUACGUAAGUCAAACGACCAGAAAAUAUGUUUGUUUUUACGUAAAAUAAAUACAACAACUUUUCGAGCAAUAUGCUUCUUAUCAGUCUAUUUUUUCUCUCUCUUUCUUUCGUAUACUAUAUAUCGGUUUCUUCUUUCACUCUCUUUUCUUUCUUAUUCAAAUUCUAUUUUAGCAUAAUUUUACAAAGCUUUUGUUAUUUACAAAUAAAAUUAUAAUACGAAAAUGUAUUCUUGAUUUAGGAAAUGUCCUUUUAAUUCUUCAAUUUAAUAUAAAAAUUUAUUCAAAGCUUUACGCAACUUAUUCUAGCCCACCUUUUAACUCAUACUAUCGAUGAAACACUAUAAUUUGCGUUCAGCUGUUCGUUCUCGUACAUUCACUCAACAAACGACGAUACAUUCGAUGAUGACUAGUUUGAAAAAUUCUUGAUGUUGAAAUACAGCGUUAGAUUGAACAACGACUGUACAGUAAUUUAUUUUUUACUUUUGAACUGAAGAAAAACCACCACCCGGCUUCUCUCACAGCCAAAGGGCACGCGAGCUGCCAGAACUCUCCGAAAAUUACCUCGUUUCGCUCAUUUCAAAGCCAACCGAGAUCUGACCAGAACGAUGGCGCGCGACGUUAUUAUAUACUGUGCUUGACGUCACGACUACGCGGCAUCAUGAUUGGAAGUUGCUAUGAGCUCCGACCAAUCAACUCACUUACUGCGUGAAAUUCGAACGGUGCACGCUCGCUCGUUCACUUGAGAGCUUUUCAUUGCCGUCAUCUCGAAUAAACGUUGGAAAGGCCAGACGGUAUAUACUAUAAUUCUCUACGAGUUAAGAGAGAUUCAUUGCCUUGAAUUACGUCACGGUAAAUCAUAUAUCGUCAACCAAAUCGUUGGAGGUAAACAACAUUGUUUCAACCGGCUUCAAUACGGACAGUUUAGAACCAUUUGUCUGAAACGUGAAGGAACCUUCUGACGCAAAUGUAUAAUUCUUUCCUGCUAUAAAAACGCUUAUUGGCCAAGGUU